UUUGAUUUUCUGGAGUCCAGCUUCUUGAGUUCUUUGUAAAAAAUGGAGAUUUAGGAUUGGUAAAGAUUGUUUCCCAAUCUGUUGGUUGCCUUUUUGUCUUAUUGACAGUGAGGUCCCAUUUGUCGAUUCUUGAUCUUACCUCCAAGGCUCUUCCCCACUUUCUCCUCUAUAACUUUCAGUGUCUCUGGUUUUCUGCGGAGGUCUUUAGUACACUUAGACUUGAGCUUUGUACAAGGAGAUAAGAAUGGAUCAAUUCGCAUUCUUCUACAUGCUAAUCGCAAGUUGAGCCAGCACUAUUUGUUGAAAAUGCUGUCUUCUUAGAUGUGUGGGUUCAUUUCUGGGUCUUCAAUUCUAUUCCAUUGAUCUACCUGUCUGUCGCUGUACCCGGUACCAUGCAGUUUUUAUCACAAUUUCUCUGUAAUACAGCUUGAGAUCAGUCACGGUGAUUCCACCAGAGGUUCUUUUAUUGUUGAGAAGAGUUUUUGCUAUCCUAGGUUUUUUGUUAUUCCAGAUGAAUUUGCAAGUAGCCCUUUCUAACUCUGUGAAGAAUUGAGUUGGAACUUUGAUGGGGAUUGCAUUGAAUCUAUAGAUUGCUUUUGGCAAGAUAGCCAUUUUUACUAUAUUGAUCCUGCCAAUCCAUGAGAAUGGGAGAUCUUUCCAUCUUCUGAAUUCUUCAUUGAUUUCUUUCUUCAGAGACUUGAAAUUCUUAUCAUACAGAUCUUUCACUUGCUUGGUUAGAGUCACACCAAGGUAUUUUAUAUUAUUUGUGUCUAUUUUGAAGGGUGUUAUUUCCUUAAUUUCUUUCUCAGCCUGUUUAUCCUUUGUGUAGAGAAAGGCUACUGAUUUGUUUGUUUUAAUUUAUACCCAGCUACUUCACUGAGGUUGUUUAUCAGGUUUAGGAAUUCUCUGGUGGAAAUUUUGGGGUCACUUACAUGUAUCCUCAUAUCACCUGCAAACAGUGAUAUUGUUGCUUCUUCCUUUCCAAUUUGCAUUCCUUUGAUCUCCUUUUAUUGCUCUGGCAAUUACUGGCAAGUACUAUAUUGAAUAGGUAGGGAGAGAGUGGGCUUUCUAUUUUUUAUGUUGUUAUUGAAGAUCAGCCUUAGUCUGUGAUGAUCUGGUAGGGUACAUAGGAUUAUUUUAAUAUUUUUUAUCUCCUUAGGCCUGUUUGGUGACCGAUUUUAUGGUCAGUUUUGGAGAAGGUACCAUGAGGUGCUGAGAUUAAGGUAUAUCCUUCUGUUUUAGGAUGAAAUGUUCUGUAGAUAUCUGGUAAAUCCAUUUGUUUGAUAACUUCUGUUAGUUUCACUGUGUCUCUGUGUAGUUUCUGUUUCCAGGAUCUGUCCAUUGAUGAGAGAGGGGUGUUAAAGUCUCCCAAUAAUAUUGUGUGAGGUGUAAUGUGUGCUUUGGGUUUUAGUAAAGUUUCUUUAAUGAAUGUGGAUACCCUUGCAUUUGGAGCAUAGAUGUCUAGAAUUCAGAGUUCAUCUUGCUAAAUUUUACCUUUGAUGAGUAUGAAGUGCCCCUCCUUAUCUUUUUUGAUAACUUUGGGUUGGAAGUCGAUAUUAUUCGAUAUUAGAAUGGCUACUCCUGCUUGUUUCUUGGGACCAUUUGCUUGGAAAAUUGUUUUCCAGCCUUUUACUCUAAGGUUGUAUUUGUCUUUGUCCCUGAGGUAGGUUUCCUGUAUGCAGCAAAAAGUUGGGUCCUGUUUACGUGACCAGUCUGUUAGUCUAUGUCUUUUUAUUGAGGAAUUGUGUCCAUUGAUAUUAAGAGAUAUUAAGGAAAAGUCUUUGUUGCUUCCUUUUAUUUUUGUUGUUAGAGUUGGAAUUCUGUUCAUGUAGUAGCUAUCUUCUUUAGGUUUGUUGAAAUACUGCUUUCUUGCUUUUUCUCAAGCUUUGUUUCCCUCAUUGUAUUGAAGUUUUCCCUUUAUUAUCCUUUGAAGGGCUGGAUUUGUGGAAAGAUACUGUGUAAAUUUGACUUUACCAUGACGUUUUUGUUUCUCCAUCUAUGGUAAUUGAGAGUUUUGUUGGGUUUAGUAGCCUGGGCUGGCACUUGUGUUCUCUUAGGGUCUGUAUGUCAUCUGCCCAGGAUCUUCUGGCUUUCAUAGUCUCUUGGAGAAGUCAGGUGUAAUUCUGAUAUGCCUGCCUCUUUAUGUUACUUGACCUUUUUCCCUUACUGCUUUUAAUAUUCUUUCUUUGUUUUGUGCAUUUGGUGUUUUGAUUAUUAUGUGACAAGAGGAAUUUGUUUUCUGGUCCAAACUAUUUUGAAUUCUGUAGGCUUCUUGUAUGUUCAUGGGCAUCUCUUUCUUUAGGUUGGGGCAGUUUUUUUCUAUAAUUUUGUUGAAGAUAUUUACUGGCCUUUUAAUUUGGAAACCUUCCUUCUCGUCUAUACCUAUUAUCCUUAGGUUUGGUCUUCUCAUUGUGUCCUGGAUUUCCUGGAUGUUUUGUGUUAGGAUCUUUUUGCAUUUCACAUUUUAUUUGAUUGUUGUGUCAAUGUUUUCUAUGUUAUCUUCUGCACCUGAGAUUCUCUCUUCCAUCUCUUGGAUUCUGUUGGUUAUGCUUGCACCCUUGGCUCCUGACUUCUUUUCUAGGUUUUCUAUUUUCAGAGUGGUCUCCCUUUGUGAUUUCUUUAUUUUUUCUACUUUGUUUUUGAGAUCCUGGAUGGUUUUGUUCAAUUCUUUCACCUGAUUGGAUGUGUUCUCCUGUAUUUCUUUAAGGGAUUUAUUUAUUUCCUUCUUAAAGUCCUUCAUCAUCAUCAUGAGAAGUGACUUUAGAUCCAUAUCUUGCUUUUCUGGUAUGAUGGUAUAUCUAGGACUUGCUAUGGUGGGAGAGUUUGGUUCUGAUGAUGCCAAGUAACCUUGGUUUCUGUUGCUUCUGUUCUUAAGCUUGCCUCCCGCUAUCUAAUUAUCUCAAGUGCUUGUUGUCCUCAAUAUAUCUGAUUGGAGCCUGUCCUUCCUGUAAUCCGGGUUGAUUCAGGACUUCUCAGAAUCCAGAUUUCUCUGUGAUCCUAUGAUUCUGGGCUCCUGUGAACCUGAGAUUCUGGGUGUGUCAGAGUUCUUGGCAGUUAAGCUUCUUCUGAGACCCUGAGAUACUGGUGUUACCUAGCUCCUGUUAUCCUGGAAUCCUAAGAUCCUGGGUGUGUUAUAGCUCCUGGAAGUGGUGUCUCCACUGGGGACCAUGGGACUGUCUAGUGUGUUCGAAACCAAGGUAUACCAGCACCAACCAGAAGGAAUCCAAGCCCCUGGUUAGACAGGGCUUCUGUGUUUUUGCUCCUGUUGUCAUAGGCCUGUCACAAUUGGUUUGUAACAGAUGUUGCGUUCUACUUCCCAGUGAUCCUAAGAGCCUGGGCAUGCUAGGGCGCCUGUGGCAUGGACAUUCCUCUGGGGACCGUGGGACUGUCCGCUGAAUUCAUGCCCAAGGUGGCCCGAAGGUGGCACUGACUGGAAGGCUGGUCAUGAUACUUUCAUCAUCCUCAGUGAGGAAACUGAGUCACAGGAAGAUGACUUGUCCAAGCUCACAUGGGUCACAUGGGUUACUUGUAGAGUUAAAAAUAAGUUCAGUUUCCUAAUCUACUAUUUACUAAUCUUUAUAAUAUUUUUUAACUUUACUUAAUUUUAUCUAUAUAUAUGUGUAUGUGUGUGUGUGUAUUCCACACACGUAUGUAUACACAUAACAUUUUUGGAGGGUAAUUUUUUUCUAAGAUAUUUAGAACUUAAUUAUAUAAUGCUUGACCUUUAGAAGAUGUUAUGAAAGAUUUUAAAGAUGUUUAGCUUUAAGUAUAAGAUAACCUUUGUGUGUUUUAUUUAGCUUGAAGAAACAAACAGUGUGCUAACCAAAGAUAUUGAAAUGC
rnacentral:lncRNA from 1 species